UAGAGCGGCCACAGGCAGAGCUCUGGUUUUCCGCACAAGGUGACUGUUUCUGUUGUGAGCUGCUCCCCGCAGACUCCGUGAACUCGAUCUUAGGACCAGGGGCAGAAAACUUGGACUUAUCUUUCACUAAGGAAUGUGAGCACUUCCUUCAGGAAUUCAAACUGCUUCUAAGGUGGAAGUACAAUGAGAAGACACCCAUCUGCAAACCAGGAAGUGGGCCCUCACCAGACACCAGAUCUGAUGGCACUUGAUCUUGGACUUCCCAGCCUCCAGAACUGAAUUAUGAAUCCAGAAGUUCAAGACAGAAAUAGAAAACCAAGAAAACGGAUAACAUUUACAACAAGUUGGGUGGUGGUCUCUUUAGAUACGUGACUUAAUAAAUUGCAG